rnacentral:rRNA from 1 species
GAUGAACGCUGGCGGCGUGCCUAAUACAUGCAAGUCGAGCGAACAGACGAGGAGCUUGCUCCUUUGACGUUAGCGGCGGACGGGUGAGUAACACGUAGGUAACCUACCUCUAAGACUGGGAUAACUUCGGGAAACCGGAGCUAAUACCGGGUAAUAUUUCGAACCGCAUGGUUCGAUAGUGAAAGAUGGCUUUGCUAUCACUUAUAGAUGGACCUGCGCCGUAUUAGCUAGUUGGUAAGGUAACGGCUUACCAAGGCAACGAUACGUAGCCGACCUGAGAGCGUGAUCGGCCACACUGGAACUGAGACACGGUCCAGACUCCUACGGGAGGCAGCAGUAGGGAAUCUUCCGAAAUGGGCGAAAGCCUGACGGAGCAACGCCGCGUGAGUGAUGAAGGUCUUCGGAUCGUAAAACGCUGUUAUUAGGGAAGAACAAACGUGUAAGUAACUGUGCACGUCUUGACGGUACCUAAUCAGAAAGCAACGGCUAACUACGUG